rnacentral:rRNA from 1 species
GACGGCGGGUGCUAGCGUUGUUCGGAAUCACUGGGCGUAAAGGGCGCGUAGGCGGCCUUGCAAGUCGGUUGGUGAAAGCCCGGGGCUCAACCCCGGAGGUGCGGCCGAGACUGCAGGGCUGGAGGCCGGAAGAGGAGGGUGGAAUACCCAGUGUAGAGGUGAAAUUCGUAGAUAUUGGGUGGAACACCGGUGGCGAAAGCGGCUCUCUGGUCCGGACCUGACGCUGAGGCGCGAAAGCGUGGGGAGCGAACAGG